GAUGAACGCUGGCGGCGUGCCUAAUACAUGCAAGUCGAGCGAACAGAUAAGGAGCUUGCUCCUUUGACGUUAGCGGCGGACGGGUGAGUAACACGUGGGUAACCUACCUAUAAGACUGGGAUAACUUCGGGAAACCGGAGCUAAUACCGGAUAAUAUUUCGAACCGCAUGGUUCGAUAGUGAAAGAUGGUUUUGCUAUCACUUAUAGAUGGACCCGCGCCGUAUUAGCUAGUUGGUAAGGUAACGGCUUACCAAGGCGACGAUACGUAGCCGACCUGAGAGGGUGAUCGGCCACACUGGAACUGAGACACGGUCCAGACUCCUACGGGAGGCAGCAGUAGGGAAUCUUCCGCAAUGGGCGAAAGCCUGACGGAGCAACGCCGCGUGAGUGAUGAAGGUCUUCGGAUCGUAAAACUCUGUUAUUAGGGAAGAACAUACGUGUAAGUAACUGUGCACGUCUUGACGGUACCUAAUCAGAAAGCCACGGCUAACUACGUGCCAGCAGCCGCGGUAAUACGUAGGUGGCAAGCGUUAUCCGGAAUUAUUGGGCGUAAAGCGCGCGUAGGCGGUUUUUUAAGUCUGAUGUGAAAGCCCCACGGCUCAACCGGUGGAGGGUCAUUGGAAACUGGAAAACUUGAGUGCAGAAGAGGAAAGUGGAAUUCCAUGUGUAGCGGUGAAAUGCGCAGAGAUAUGGAGGAACACCAGUGGCGAAGGCGACUUUCUGGUCUGUAACUGACGCUGAUGUGCGAAAGCGUGGGGAUCAAACAGGAUUAGAUACCCUGGUAGUCCACGCCGUAAACGAUGAGUGCUAAGUGUUAGGGGGUUUCCGCCCCUUAGUGCUGCAGCUAACGCAUUAAGCACUCCGCCUGGGGAGUACGACCGUAAGGUUGAAACUCAAAGGAAUUGACGGGGACCCGCACAAGCGGUGGAGCAUGUGGUUUAAUUCGAAGCAACGCGAAGAACCUUACCAAAUCUUGACAUCCUUUGACAACUCUAGAGAUAGAGCUUUCCCCUUCGGGGGACAAAGUGACAGGUGGUGCAUGGUUGUCGUCAGCUCGUGUCGUGAGAUGUUGGGUUAAGUCCCGCAACGAGCGCAACCCUUAAGCUUAGUUGCCAUCAUUAAGUUGGGCACUCUAAGUUGACUGCCGGUGACAAACCGGAGGAAGGUGGGGAUGACGUCAAAUCAUCAUGCCCCUUAUGAUUUGGGCUACACGCGUGCUACAAUGGACAAUACAAAGGGCAGCGAAACCGCGAGGUCAAGCAAAUCCCAUAAAGUUGUUCUCAGUUCGGAUUGUAGUCUGCAACUCGACUACAUGAAGCUGGAAUCGCUAGUAAUCGUAGAUCAGCAUGCUACGGUGAAUACGUUCCCGGGUCU
rnacentral:rRNA from 1 species